rnacentral:rRNA from 1 species
UACGUAGGGUGCAAGCGUUAAUCGGAAUUACUGGGCGUAAAGCGUGCGCAGGCGGUUUUGUAAGUCUGUCGUGAAAUCCCCGGGCUCAACCUGGGAAUUGCGAUGGAGACUGCAAGGCUAGAAUCUGGCAGAGGGGGGUAGAAUUCCACGUGUAGCAGUGAAAUGCGUAGAGAUGUGGAGGAACACCGAUGGCGAAGGCAGCCCCCUGGGUCAAGAUUGACGCUCAUGCACGAAAGCGUGGGGAGCAAACAGGAUUAGAACCGGUAC